AUUGAACGCUGGCGGCAGGCCUAACACAUGCAAGUCGAACGAGUGGCGGACGGGUGAGUAAUGUCUGGGAAACUGCCCGAUGGAGGGGGAUAACUACUGGAAAAGGUAGCUAAUACCGCAUACCAUCGGAUGUGCCCAGAUGGGAUUAGCUAGUAGGUGGGGUAACGGCUAACCUGGGCGACGAUCCCUAGCUGGUCUGAGAGGCGGACCAGCAAAACUGGAACGAGGACACGGUCCAGACUCCUCCGGGAGGCAGCAGUGGGAAAUAUUGCACAAUGGGCGCAAGCCGGAUGCAGCCAGGCGGGGUGUAUGAAGAAGGCCUUCGGGUUGUAAAGUACUUUCAGCGAGGAGGCGUUACUCGCAGAAGAAGCACCGGCUAACUCCGUGCCAGCAGCCGCGGUAAUAC
rnacentral:rRNA from 1 species